rnacentral:rRNA from 1 species
AGCGUAGGCGGAUAGUUUAGUCAGAGGUGAAAGCCCCAGGGGCUCAACCUUGGAAAUGCCUUUGAUACUGGCUAUCUUGAGUAUGGGAGAGGUAAGCGGAAUUCCGAGUGUAGAGGUGAAAUUCGUAGAUAUUCGGAAGAACACCGGUGGCGAAGGCGGCUUACUGGCCCAUUACUGACGCUGAGGCUCGAAAGCGUGGGGAGCAAACA